rnacentral:misc_RNA from 1 species
CGGUUCAUAAAUCAUAGUGAGACUCGUGAAUCAGCUCGUGAACGACCGAUACAUACAAAUUAAUCUCUCAUUGUUCCAACCUCGAGGACAAUGUAACGGCAGUAGCACGGGUUACGAGGGUUGCGAAUAUCUUUGUUGCGGUCGAGGUCACGUAACGAAAACCGAAG